CUUAAUGUCUUAAGUAAGUCCUUAAUUUGGAAUACAGAAACCAGUAUAAUUUUAAAAAGAAAAAUAUUCUUUGUAGAAACUGUAAAUUCUCCCAUUAUAACAGUGAACAGAGCUCCAGGUAAUAAUGCAUAGGCAUGUCAGGUUGCAUCUGUAUACUUGACUACAUUAGUAUUAGUGAUAUCAGAUGGAUAUAAAAGAAAACCCUUGGAAAGAGAAGUGCCUUAGCCAUGAUUUCAGAGAGAAACCAUUAGUAGACCUAUUUAUGAUUCUAUUACAGUUUUCAGAUAGGAUGUGAACAUGGAAUUUCAUUGAAAAUAGUUUAAUUUUUUAUAUAAAAGGUUAUGUAUAUAAUGUGUAUCAGUGACUAUUUUCAAAAUCAUUUUCAUCAAGACACCUUUUUUCUAAAAUGGGCAUUGUAUACACACAUGCACACACAUGUACAUGCACACGCACACAUUAUUUUUUAUAGUGUAGGGUUUGAUUAUAAAAGUGUUGUCAAAUCUGUUUUAUUUAUCUGCAUAUAGCAGUGAUUGGCUUUUUUGAAUUGAAAUUUUUGCACAUUGAUGCAUUGAAAUAAGGAAAAUUAUUUAUCUCUGAGCACUAAACUUACUUUUGCAUAUUUCUGUAAUAUUGCAAUCCCCAGAUCCAGAUCGUGGGAAGUUAGGGAAAAUGUGUGAUUUUGUGUUUUGAAUUACUGUCAGAAUUACAUACACAAUUACAACAAACUUUAUUUAAAGGACAUUUCAUUGUACUGCAAAAAUCUCAAUAUUUAUAUUUCUUGUUUUUCUCUUUAUAUAUUUUGCAUUUUAAUAUAUUGAGCCACUGGAAAUUUGUAACAGAUUAAUUUGUUAUAGGAGUUUAAAUGUGUUGUCAUUGUCUCCAUUGUCUUUGUCCAGAGCCUAUUAUUAUGGAAACAA
rnacentral:lncRNA from 1 species